CGCAUCUGUGCAUGCAGCAUAUCAAUAGCGGAGGAAAAGAACCUGACCACCGGCUAUACCUACGCUUAGGAUGUUGACACACGCACGUGCUCGACUCUAUACAUGACUCUGUGCAUAUCAAUAAGCGGAGGAAAAGAGGGCUAUUACCUACGCUUAGGAUGUUGACACACGCGCGUGCUCGAUGAUAGUCUAUACAUGACUCUGUGCAUAUCAAUAAGCGGAGGAAAAGUACUACCUACGCUUAGGAUGUUGACGAGACUGUCGAUCUCAUCUAUACAUGACUCUGUGCAUAUCAAUAAGCGGAGGAAAAGAGGGCUAUUACCUACGCUUAGGAUGUUGACACACGCGCGUGCUCGACUCUACACAUGACUCUGCGCAUAUCAAUAAGCGGAGGAAAAGGGGGCUAUUACCUACGCUUAGGAUGUUGACGAGACUGUCGAUCUCAUCUAUACAUGACUUUGUGCAUAUCAAUAAGCGGAGGAAAAGAGGGCUAUUACCUACGCUUAGGAUGUUGACACACGCGCGUGCUCGACUCUAUACAUGACUCUGUGCAUAUCAAUAAGCGGAGGAAAAGAAACUAACAAGGAUUCCCUUAGUAACGGCGAGUGAAGCGGGAAGAGCUCAAAUUUGAAAUCUUCAAGGUUUUACCUUGACGAGUUGUAGUUUAAAGAAGUGUUUUCUGUUGAAGUUUUGGUAAAAGUUCUUUGGAAUAGGACAUCAUAGAGGGUGAGAAUCCCGUAUUUGACCAUUAUUUUCAGCUGUGUGAUACACUUUCAAAGAGUCGGAUUGUUUGGGAAUGCAGUCCAAAAUGGGUGGUAAAUUUCAUCUAAAGCUAAAUAUUGGCGAGAGACCGAUAGCGAACAAGUACCGUGAGGGAAAGAUGAAAAGAACUUUGAAAAGAGAGUUAAACAGUACGUGAAAUUGUCAAAAGGGAAGCGUUUGACACCAGUGUUGUUUUCUCGAAAAUCAAUUAAAAAGAGUUUGAUUUUGUUGUGUAUUGACCUUAACAGCUUGCAUUUCAAUUUUCUUGCUUUUUUUAAUGCACUUUUCGUUUAACAAGUCAACAUCAGUUUCUUUUGUUGUAAAAAGGUCAUUGGAAGGUGGCUUUCUUUUCGGAGAAAGUGUUUAUAGCCUUUGACUCCUGCAAUCGGAGAGACUGAGGUCUGCAGCGUAGAUCCUUCGGGGUUAGAUACAUUUGUGCUAAGUUAUAGCUUUUUAUAGACAACUUGUUGACUAUGAUUAGUCUUGUAGCUUACUCGCUUAUGCUAUUUUACCUACGCUUAGGAUGUUGACACACGCGCGUGCUCG
rnacentral:rRNA from 1 species